UUCGCAAUGCCCGAAAGGGUGACGAAGCGACGCCGCGUGGGUGAGGAAGGCCUUCGGGUUGUAAAGCCCUGUCAGGAGGUAAGAAAUGUAAGUGUGCUAAUAUCGCAUUUACUUGACGAAGGCUCCAAAGGAAGUCACGGCUAACUCUGUGCCAGCAGCCGCGGUAAUACAGAGGUGGCAAGCGUUGUUCGGAAUUAUUGGGCGUAAAGAGCACGUAGGUGGGUUUGUAAGUCAGAUGUGAAAGCCUCCUGUUCAACGGGAGAAUUGCAUCUGAAACUACUGAUCUUGAGUAUAGGAGGGGAGAAUGGAACUUCUGGUGGAGCGGUGAAAUGCGUAGAUAUCAGAAGGAACGCCGGCGGCGAAAGCGAUUCUCUGGCCUAUUACUGACACUCAGUGUGCGAAAGCUAGGGGAGCAAACGGGAUUAGAUACCCCGGUAGUCCUAGCCGUAAACGAUGGGCACUAAGUAGAGGGGUUUU
rnacentral:rRNA from 1 species